UUAGUUGAAACCAAAAAAGAGGUAUAUCAUUGUUAAUGAUAAAAUUGAAUUAAUUUCCAGCUAAA
rnacentral:tRNA from 1 species